rnacentral:snRNA from 1 species
CAUUCCCGGCUACCAAAAAUUAUGCGCCCGAGUUAUCGACAUUAGCGAUAAUCGCAGGGGUCAGCCCCACCGAAGUGCAAUGGAGGAGCCUCUCCCUGGAGGAACCGCCUUUCUGAUCACGGUGUCCCCCACGCCAGGUAAGA